rnacentral:rRNA from 1 species
UACGAAGGGGGCUAGCGUUGCUCGGAAUCACUGGGCGUAAAGCGCACGUAGGCGGAUUCUUAAGUCAGGGGUGAAAUCCUGGAGCUCAACUCCAGAACUGCCUUUGAUACUGAGGGUCUUGAGUUCGGGAGAGGUGAGUGGAACUGCGAGUGUAGGGGUGAAAUUCGUAGAUAUUCGCAAGAACACCAGUGGCGAAGGCGGCUCACUGGCCCGAUACUGACGCUGAGGUGCGAAAGCGUGGGGAGCAAACAGG